rnacentral:rRNA from 1 species
AACGCUGGCGGCGUGCUUAACACAUGCAAGUCGAGCGAUGAAGCUCCUUCGGGAGUGGAUUAGCGGCGGACGGGUGAGUAACACGUGGGCAACCUGCCUUGUAGAGAGGAAUAGCCAUUCGAAAGGAUGAUUAAUACCUCAUAAUAUUGUAGCUUCGCAUGAAGCAACAACCAAAGGAGCAAUCCACUACAAGAUGGGCCCCGCGGCGCAUUAGCUAGUUGGUGGGGUAACGGCUCACCAAGGCGACGAUGCGUAGCCGACCUGAGAGGGUGAUCGGCCACAUUGGGACUGAGACACGGCCCAGACUCCUACGGGAGGCAGCAGUGGGGAAUAUUGCACAAUGGGGGAAACCCUGAUGCAGCCAACGCCGCGUGAGUGAUGACGGUCUUCGGAUUGUAAAGCUCUGUCUUCAGGGACGAUAAUGACGGUACCUGAGGAGGAAGCCACGGCUAACUACGUGCCAGCCGCCGC